UACAGAGGGGGCAAGCGUUAUUCGGAAUUAUUGGGCGUAAAGGGCGCGUAGGCGGCCUGGCAAGUGGAAGGUGAAAUCCCUCGGCUUAACCGAGGAACUGCCCUCCAAACUGCUUGGCUUGAGUCCGGGAGAGGUGAGUGGAAUUCCCAGUGUAGCGGUGAAAUGCGCAGAUAUCAGGAAGAACACCCGUGGCUAAGGCGGCUCUCUAGUACGGUACUGACGCUGAGACGCGAAAGCGUGGGGAGCGAACAGG
rnacentral:rRNA from 1 species